rnacentral:rRNA from 1 species
GACGAACCGUGCGAACGUUGUUCGGAAUCACUGGGCGUAAAGCGCACGUAGGCGGAUCUUUAAGUCAGGGGUGAAAUCCUGGAGCUCAACUCCAGAACUGCCUUUGAUACUGGAGAUCUCGAGUCCGGAAGAGGUGAGUGGAACUCCGAGUGUAGAGGUGAAAUUCGUAGAUAUUCGGAAGAACACCAGUGGCGAAGGCGGCUCACUGGUCCGGUACUGACGCUGAGGUGCGAAAGCGUGGGGAGCAAACAGG